UACGGAGGGUGCGAGCGUUGUCCGGAAUCAUUGGGCGUAAAGGGCGCGUAGGUGGCCCGGUCAGCGUGCGGUGAAAGCUCGGGGCUCAACCCCGAGUCGGCCGUGCGAACUGCUGGGCUUGAGCACUGUAGAGGCAGGCGGAAUUCCGGGUGUAGCGGUGGAAUGCGUAGAGAUCCGGAAGAACACCGGUGGCGAAGGCGGCCUGCUGGGCAGUGGCUGACACUGAGGUGCGAAAGCGUGGGGAGCAAACAGG
rnacentral:rRNA from 1 species